UACAGAGGGUGCGAGCGUUGUCCGGAAUCACUGGGCGUAAAGGGCGCGUAGGCGGUCUCUUAAGCGUGUGGUGAAAGCCCGGGGCUCAACUCCGGGUCGGCCGUGCGAACUGGGGGACUGGAGCUUGUCAGAGGCAGGCGGAAUUCCGGGUGUAGCGGUGGAAUGCGUAGAGAUCCGGAAGAACACCGGUGGCGAAGGCGGCCUGCUGGGACAGUGCUGACGCUGAGGCGCGACAGCGUGGGAGCAAACAGG
rnacentral:rRNA from 1 species